rnacentral:lncRNA from 1 species
UUCGAAUACUCAAGGAAAUCUCGGUGGGUUGUUGAGUACUAGGAGUGGUGCAAAUACUCAAGGAAAUAUCGGCAGGGUGCUGAGUACUAGGAGUGGUACAAAUACUUAAAGGAAAUCUCGGCUAGGUAGUUGAGUACCAUGAGUGGUGCUAAUAAUCAUUUGUAAUCGUGUGAAGAUUAUAAUGGAACUUGUUGAUAGGGGGAACACAGUGUUAGCUAAACCCAAUCCCUGUGAUGGUUGUUUUUGAUGAUGACAAUUGUGUUAUGUGUUAUGUGUUCAUGCUUAUUGUGGAAUAUGCACAUAUUUUGUUUGUCACAUUUGAUCAUAUUGUGUUGAUUGAUGCAUACUAUUGUGUUUAUGAAGUGACUAUAUUUGUGUAUGCACAAUAUAUGUUUUGGUAAUAUAAAAACCACAUGCACAAAAGCA